rnacentral:rRNA from 1 species
CCUACGGGAGGCAGCAGUGGGGAAUAUUGCGCAAUGGGCGAAAGCCUGACGCAGCGACGCCGCGUGAGGGAUGAAGGUCUUCGGAUCGUAAACCUCUGUCAGCAGGGAAGAACGGUCACUGUGCUAAUCAGCAGUGAAUUGACGGUACCUGCAAAGGAAGCACCGUCUAACUCCGUGCCAGCAGCCGCGGUAAUACGGAGGGUGCGAGCGUUAAUCGGAAUUACUGGGCGUAAAGCGCUCGUAGGCGGUAUGUCAAGUCAAGGGUGAAAUCCCCGCGCUCAACGUGGGAACUGCCUUUGAAACUGGCAAACUGGAGUGUGUGAGAGGAUAGUGGAAUUCCAGGUGUAGGAGUGAAAUGCGUAGAUAUCUGGAGGAACAUCAGUGGCGAAGGCGACUAUCUGGCACAUAACUGACGCUGAGGAGCGAAAGCGUGGGUAGCAAACAGGAUUAGAUACCCUUGUAGUC